rnacentral:rRNA from 1 species
AGUGAACGCUGGCGGUAGGCCUAACACAUGCAAGUCGAACGGCAGCACAGAGGAGCUUGCUCCUUGGGUGGCGAGUGGCGGACGGGUGAGGAAUACAUCGGAAUCUACUCUGUCGUGGGGGAUAACGUAGGGAAACUUACGCUAAUACCGCAUACGACCUACGGGUUAAAGCAGGGGAGCUUCUGACCUUGCGCGAUUGAAUGAGCCGAUGUCGGAUUGGCUAGUUGGCGGUGUAAAGGCCCACCAAGGCGACGAUCCGUAGCUGGUCUGAGAGGAUGAUCAGCCACACUGGAACUGAGACACGGCCCAGACUCCUACGGGAGGCAGCAGUGGGGAAUAUUGGACAAUGGGCGCAAGCCUGAUCCAGCCAUACCGCGUGGGUGAAGAAGGCCUUCGGGUUGUAAAGCCCUUUUGUUGGGAAAGAAAUCCAUCUGGUUAAUACCCGGAUGGGAUGACGGUACCCAAAGAAUAAGCACCGGCUAACUUCGUGCCAGCCGCCGCCGUAA